rnacentral:rRNA from 1 species
UACGUAGGGUGCAAGCGUUGUCCGGAAUUAUUGGGCGUAAAGGGCUCGUAGGCGGUCCAUCGCGUCGGGAGUGAAAAGCUGGGGCUUAACCCCAGUCCUGCUUCCGAUACGGGUGGACUAGAGGUAGGUAGGGGAGAUCGGAAUUCCUGGUGUAGCGGUGAAAUGCGCAGACAUCAGGAGGAACACCGGUGGCGAAGGCGGAUCUCUGGGCCUGUACUGACGCUGAGGAACGAAAGCGUGGGGAGCGAACAGG